GUAGUCCACGCCGUAAACGAUGGGUACUAGAUGUUGUGGGAAUUGACCCCUACAGUGUCGAAGCUAACGCAUUAAGUACCCCGCCUGGGAAGUACGGUCGCAAGAUUAAAACUCAAAGGAAUUGACGGGGGCCCGCACAAGCGGUGGAGCAUGUGGUUUAAUUCGAUGCAACGCGAAAAACCUUACCUGGAUUUGACAUCCUCUGACAUCCCUAGAGAUAGGGCUUUCUCGCAAGAGACAGAGAGACAGGUGCUGCAUGGCUGUCGUCAGCUCGUAUCGUGAGAUGUCGGGUUAAGUCCCUUAACGAGCGCAACCCUUGUCCUUAGUUGCCACCAUUCAGUUGGGCACUCUAAGGAGACUGCCGGUGUUAAACCGGA
rnacentral:rRNA from 1 species